rnacentral:rRNA from 1 species
UACAGAGGGUGCAAACGUUGUUCGGAAUUACUGGGCGUAAAGCGUGUGUAGGCUGCUACAUAAGUCGGAUGUGAAAGCCCCGGGCUCAACCCGGGAAGUGCACUCGAUACUGCGUAGCUUGAGUCUCGGAGAGGUUGGUGGAAUUCUCGGUGUAGAGGUGAAAUUCGUAGAUAUCGAGAGGAACACCGGUGGCGAAGGCGGCCAACUGGACGAAGACUGACGCUGAGACACGAAAGCGUGGGGAGCGAACAGG